GACGAACGCUGGCGGCGUGCCUAAUACAUGCAAGUAGAACGCUGAAGAGAGGAGCUUGCUCUUCUUGGAUGAGUUGCGAACGGGUGAGUAACGCGUAGGUAACCUGCCUUGUAGCGGGGGAUAACUAUUGGAAACGAUAGCUAAUACCGCAUAACAAUGGAUGACACAUGUCAUUUAUUUGAAAGGGGCAAUUGCUCCACUACAAGAUGGACCUGCGUUGUAUUAGCUAGUAGGUGAGGUAAUGGCUCACCUAGGCGACGAUACAUAGCCGACCUGAGAGGGUGGUCCGCCAACACGGGAACGAGGCAACGCCCCGAAUCCUUAGGGGGGGAGCAGUAAGGAAACUUCGGGAAUGGGGGGAAACCUGACCGGGCAAAGCCGGGUGAGGGAAGGAGGGUUUCGGAUCGGAAAGCUCUGUUGUAAGUCAAGAAAGGGUGUGAGAGUGGAAAGUUCACGCUGUGACGGUAGCUUACCAGAAAGGGACGGCUAACUACGUG
rnacentral:rRNA from 1 species